rnacentral:rRNA from 1 species
GACGAACGCUGGCGGCGUGCCUAAUACAUGCAAGUCGAGCGAGCUUGCCUAGAUGAUUUUAGUGCUUGCACUAAAUGAAACUAGAUACAAGCGAGCGGCGGACGGGUGAGUAACACGUGGGUAACCUGCCCAAGAGACUGGGAUAACACCUGGAAACAGAUGCUAAUACCGGAUAACAACACUAGACGCAUGUCUAGAGUUUGAAAGAUGGUUCUGCUAUCGCUCUGAGAUGGCCUCGCGUCUGAUUAGCUAGUUGGCGGGGUAACGGCCCACCAAGGCGACGAUCAGUAGCCGGACUGAGAGGUUGGCCGGCCACAUUGGGACUGAGACACGGCCCAG